rnacentral:rRNA from 1 species
GACGUAGGGCGCGAGCGUUGUCCGGAUUUAUUGGGCGUAAAGAGCUCGUAGGCGGCUUGUUGCGUCGACCGUGAAAACCCGGGGCUCAACUUCGGGCUUGCGGUCGAUACGGGCGGGCUAGAGUUCGGUAGGGGAGACUGGAAUUCCUGGUGUAGCGGUGAAAUGCGCAGAUAUCAGGAGGAACACCGGUGGCGAAGGCGGGUCUCUGGGCCGAUACUGACGCUGAGGACGAGAAGCGUGGGGAGCGA